rnacentral:rRNA from 1 species
UGGGGAAUAUUGGACAAUGGGCGCAAGCCUGAUCCAGCCAUGCCGCGUGUGUGAAGAAGGCCCUAGGGUUGUAAAGCACUUUCAGCGAGGAGGAAAGGCGAUAAGUUAAUACCUUAUUGUUGUGACGUUACUCGCAGAAGAAGCACCGGCUAACUCCGUGCCAGCAGCCGCGGUAAUACGGAGGGUGCAAGCGUUAAUCGGAAUUACUGGGCGUAAAGCGCGCGUAGGCGGUUUGUUAAGUUGGAUGUGAAAGCCCAGGGCUCAACCUUGGAACUGCAUCCAAAACUGGCAGGCUAGAGUAUUGUAGAGGGGUGUGGAAUUUCAGGUGUAGCGGUGAAAUGCGUAGAGAUCUGAAGGAACAUCAGUGGCGAAGGCGACACCCUGGACAAAUACUGACGCUGAGGUGCGAAAGCGUGGGGAGCAAACGGG